rnacentral:sRNA from 1 species
AACCAUUUUAACAAGACCUUGGACUUUCGAUUGGAUGUAACUAUCUAUUUCUUGCGUGAAAAAGUUGAAAUUGACGAUGGUUUCAAGUGAAAUAUACACAGAUUGGUAUUCUUAGCACAAAAGCCAGACAAACCUUGUUGAUUUUAAUGAACCAAGGCUGAAUGACCAGCAAUGAAAUAGACAGGCCUACGUCACAUUGCUGUUUGACACAACUACCCAAAGUCCAAGCUCUUGUUAAAAUGGUUCUAUUCAGACCACUUAUAUUUCAUCACCUUGUGAUAUGUCUAUGAUUGUGUUUAGAUUUCAUGUAUUUAAUGGCAGCAUGCGAUAAUAUUACACUGUAUUAAUCUUUGAUUUUUGUACUUUGUAUUAAGUGUAUAUUAAAAUGUUAAUUUC